AAAAAAGGUAAGCUACUAAGAGCGAAUGGUGGAUGCCUUGACUGGUAAAGGCGAUGAAGGACGUACUAGACUGCGAUAAGCUACGGGGAGCUGUCAAGAAGCUUUGAUCCGUAGAUUUCCGAAUGGGGCAACCCAAUGUAUAGAGAUAUACAUUACCUAUAUAGGAGCGAACGAGGGGAAUUGAAACAUCUUAGUACCCUCAGGAAAAGAAAUCAAUAGAGAUUGCGUCAGUAGCGGCGAGCGAAAGCGCAAGAGGGCAAACCCAGUGCUUGCACUGGGGGUUGUAGGACUGCAAUGUGCAAGAGGUAAGUUUAGCAGAACAUUCUGGAAAGUAUAACCAUAGAGGGUGAUAGUCCCGUAUGCGAAAAACAAACCUUAGCUAGCAGUAUCCUGAGUAGGGCGGGACACGAGGAAUCCUGUCUGAAUCUGGGUCGACCACGAUCCAACCCUAAAUACUAAUACCAGAUCGAUAGUGCACAAGUACCGUGAGGGAAAGGUGAAAAGAACUGAGGUGAUCAGAGUGAAAUAGAACCUGAAACCAUUUGCUUACAAUCAUUCAGAGCCCUAUGUAGCAAUACAGGGUGAUGGACUGCCUUUUGCAUAAUGAGCCUGCGAGUUGUGGUGUCUGGCAAGGUUAAGCAAACGCGAAGCCGUAGCGAAAGCGAGUCUGAAUAGGGCGCUUAGUCAGAUGCUGCAGACCCGAAACGAAGUGAUCUAUCCAUGAGCAAGUUGAAGCUAGUGUAAGAACUAGUGGAGGACUGAACCCAUAGGCGUUGAAAAGCCCCGGGAUGACUUGUGGAUAGGGGUGAAAGGCCAAUCAAACUUCGUGAUAGCUGGUUCUCUCCGAAAUAUAUUUAGGUAUAGCGUUGUGUCGUAAUAUAAGGGGGUAGAGCACUGAAUGGGCUAGGGCAUACACCAAUGUACCAAACCCUAUCAAACUCCGAAUACCUUAUAUGUAAUCACAGCAGUCAGGCGGCGAGUGAUAAAAUCCGUCGUCAAGAGGGAAACAACCCAGACUACCAGCUAAGGUCCCUAAAUCUUACUUAAGUGGAAAACGAUGUGAAGUUACUUAAACAACCAGGAGGUUGGCUUAGAAGCAGCCAUCCUUUAAAGAAAGCGUAAUAGCUCACUGGUCUAGUGAUUUUGCGCGGAAAAUAUAACGGGGCUAAAGUAAGUACCGAAGCUGUAGACUUAGUUUAC
rnacentral:rRNA from 1 species